UCCUGACUGACCGAUAGUGAACCAGUACCGUGAGGGAAAGGCGAAAAGAACCCCGGCGAGGGGAGUGAAAAAGAACCUGAAACCGUGUACGUACAAGCAGUGGGAGCACGCUUAGGCGUGUGACUGCGUACCUUUUGUAUAAUGGGUCAGCGACUUAUAUUCUGUAGCAAGGUUAACCGAAUAGGGGAGCCGAAGGGAAACCGAGUCUUAACUGGGCGUUAAGUUGCAGGGUAUAGACCCGAAACCCGGUGAUCUAGCCAUGGGCAGGUUGAAGGUUGGGUAACACUAACUGGAGGACCGAACCGACUAAUGUUGAAAAAUUAGCGGAUGACUUGUGGCUGGGGGUGAAAGGCCAAUCAAACCGGGAGAUAGCUGGUUCUCCCCGAAAGCUAUUUAGGUAGCGCCUCGUGAAUUCAUCUCCGGGGGUAGAGCACUGUUUCGGCAAGGGGGUCAUCCCGACUUACCAACCCGAUGCAAACUGCGAAUACCGGAGAAUGUUAUCACGGGAGACACACGGCGGGUGCUAACGUCCGUCGUGAAGAGGGAAACAACCCAGACCGCCAGCUAAGGUCCCAAAGUCAUGGUUAAGUGGGAAACG
rnacentral:rRNA from 1 species